GAUGAACGCUGGCGGCGUGCUUAACACAUGCAAGUCGAACGGAAAGGCCCAAAGUUGCUUGGGUUCUCGAGUGGCGAACGGGUGAGUAACACGCGGGUGAACUGCCCUGCACUUCGGGAUAAGACUGGGAAACUGGGUCUAAUACCGGGUAGGACGAUGGUUUGGAUGCGGUUGAGGAAAGAUUUAGCGGUGUGGGAUGAGGUCGCGGACUAUCAGCGUGUUGGUGGGGUGUUGGCCUACCAAGGCGUAGACGGGUAGCCGGCCUGAGAGGGUGUACGGCCACAUUGGGACCGAGAGACGGGCCAGACUCCGGCGGGUGGCAGCAGUGGCGAAAACUUCACGGUGGGCGGCAGCGUGAGGCAGCGAGGCCGCGGGAUGGAUGACGUCUUUCAGGAGGUAAACACCUUUGUCUAAGGACGUGGCGUUUUUGUGACGGUACCUAGAGAGGAAGCCACGGCUAACUACGUG
rnacentral:rRNA from 1 species